GACGAACGCUGGCGGCGUGCUUAACACAUGCAAGUCGAACGGAAAGGCCCUGCUUUUGUGGGGUGCUCGAGUGGCGAACGGGUGAGUAACACGUGAGUAACCUGCCCUUGACUUUGGGAUAACUUCAGGAAACUGGGGCUAAUACCGGAUAGGAGCUCCUGCUGCAUGGUGGGGGUUGGAAAGUUUCGGCGGUUGGGGAUGGACUCGCGGCUUAUCAGCUUGUUGGUGGGGUAGUGGCUUACCAAGGCUUUGACGGGUAGCCGGCCUGAGAGGGUGACCGGCCACAUUGGGACUGCGAGACGGCCCAGACUCCAACGGUAGGCAGCAGUGGGGAAUAUUGCACAAUGGGCCGAAGUCGGAGGCGGCAACGCUGCGUGCGGGAUGACGGCCUGCGGGUUAUAAACCGCUGUCGCCUGUGACGAAGCGUGAGUGACGGUAAUGGGUAAAGAAGCACCGGCUAACUACGUG
rnacentral:rRNA from 1 species